rnacentral:misc_RNA from 1 species
UAACCACUCAAGCCUCGGCUUGGUCUUGGGGUUCGCGGUUCCGCGGCCCUUAAAAUCAGUGGCGGUGCCGUCUGGCUCUAAGCGUAGUAAUUCUCUCGCUAUAGGGUCCCGGCGGCUACCUGUCAAAACCCCCUCAUUUUUUAC